rnacentral:rRNA from 1 species
GUGGGGAAUCUUGCGCAAUGGGCGAAAGCCUGACGCAGCCAUGCCGCGUGAAUGAUGAAGGUCUUAGGAUUGUAAAAUUCUUUCACCGGGGACGAUAAUGACGGUACCCGGAGAAGAAGCUCCGGCUAACUUCGUGUCAGCAGCCGCGGUAAUACGAAGGGGGCUAGCGUUGCUCGGAAUUACUGGGCGUAAAGGGCGCGUAGGCGGACAGCUUAGUCAGAGGUGAAAGCCCAGGGCUCAACCUUGGAAUUGCCUUUGAUACUGGCUGUCUUGAGUUUGGGAGAGGUGAGUGGAACUCCGAGUGUAGAGGUGAAAUUCGUAGAUAUUCGGAAGAACACCAGUGGCGAAGGCGACUCACUGGCCCAAUACUGACGCUGAGGCGCGAAAGCGUGGGGAGCAAACAGGAUUAGAUACCCGUGUAGUCC